CUCCUACGGGAGGCAGCAGUGGGGAAUAUUGCACAAUGGGCGCAAGCCUGAUGCAGCAACGCCGCGUGAGGGAUGAAGGCCUUCGGGUUGUAAACCUCUUUUAGUAGGGAAGAAGUGGAUCGUAGGAUUCGUGACGGUACCUGCAGAAAAAGCACCGGCUAACUACGUGCCAGCAGCCGCGGUAAUACGUAGGGUGCAAGCGUUGUCCGGAAUUAUUGGGCGUAAAGAGCUCGUAGGCGGUUUGUCGCGUCUGCUGUGAAAUCUGGAGGCUCAACCUCCAGCCUGCAGUGGGUACGGGCAGACUAGAGUGCGGUAGGGGAGAUUGGAAUUCCUGGUGUAGCGGUGGAAUGCGCAGAUAUCAGGAGGAACACCAAUGGCGAAGGCAGAUCUCUGGGCCGUAACUGACGCUGAGGAGCGAAAGCAUGGGGAGCGAACAGGAUUAGAUACCCUGGUAGUCCAUGCCGUAAACGUUGGGAACUAGUUGUGGGGACCAUUCCACGGUCUCCGUGACGCAGCUAACGCAUUAAGUUCCCCGCCUGGGGAGUACGGCCGCAAGGCUAAAACUCAAAGGAAUUGACGGGGGCCCGCACAAGCGGCGGAGCAUGCGGAUUAAUUCGAUGCAACGCGAAGAACCUUACCAAGGCUUGACAUAUACCGGAAACUUCCAGAGAUGGUUGCCCCGCAAGGUCGGUAUACAGGUGGUGCAUGGUUGUCGUCAGCUCGUGUCGUGAGAUGUUCGGUUAAGUCCGGCAACGAGCGCAACCCUCGUUCUAUGUUGCCAGCACGUAAUGGUGGGGACUCAUGGGAGACUGCCGUGGUCAACACGGAGGAAGGUGGGGAUGACGUCAAAUCAUCAUGCCCCUUAUGUCUUGGGCUUCACGCAUGCUACAAUGGCCGGUACAAAGGGCUGCAAUACCGUAAGGUGGAGCGAAUCCCAAAAAGCCGGUCUCAGUUCGGAUUGAGGUCUGCAACUCGACCUCAUGAAGUCGGAGUCGCUAGUAAUCGCAGAUCAGCAACGCUGCGGUGAAUACGUUCCCGGGCCUUGUACACACCGCCCGU
rnacentral:rRNA from 1 species